rnacentral:rRNA from 1 species
GAUGAACGCUGGCGGCGUGCCUAAUACAUGCAAGUCGAGCGAACAGAUAAGGAGCUUGCUCCUUUGACGUUAGCGGCGGACGGGUGAGUAACACGUGGGUAACCUACCUAUAAGACUGGGAUAACUUCGGGAAACCGGAGCUAAUACCGGAUAACAUUUGGAACCGCAUGGUUCUAAAGUGAAAGAUGGUUUUGCUAUCACUUAUAGAUGGACCCGCGCCGUAUUAGCUAGUUGGUAAGGUAACGGCUUACCAAGGCGACGAUACGUAGCCGACCUGAGAGGGUGAUCGGCCACACUGGAACUGAGACACGGUCCAGACUCCUACGGGAGGCAGCAGUAGGGAAUCUUCCGCAAUGGGCGAAAGCCUGACGGAGCAACGCCGCGUGAGUGAUGAAGGGUUUCGGCUCGUAAAACUCUGUUAUUAGGGAAGAACAAACGUGUAAGUAACUGUGCACGUCUUGACGGUACCUAAUCAGAAACCCACGGCUAACUACGUG